GCAAGCAUAGUUUAAUGAAAAUGCUAGAUUGUGAUUCUAGAGACAGGGGUUAAAACCCCCUUUCUUGCC
rnacentral:tRNA from 1 species